GAUGAAGAACGUAGCGAAAUGCGAUAAGUAGUGUGAAUUGCAGAAUUCAGUGAAUCAUCGAAUCUUUGAACGCACAUUGCGCCCCUUGGUAUCCCGAGGGGCAUGCCUGUUCGAGCGUCAUUUCACCACUCAAGCCUGGCUUGUGUUGGGCGACGUCCUCUUUGGGGACGCGCCUCGAAACGCUCGGCGGCGUGGCACCGGCUUUAAGCGUAGCAGAAUCUUUCGCUUUGGAAGUCGGGGCCCCGUCUGCCGGAAGACCUGCUCGCAAGGUUGACCUCGGAUCAGGCAGGGAUACCCGCUGAACUUAAGCAUAUCAAUAAGCGGGGA
rnacentral:misc_RNA from 1 species